rnacentral:rRNA from 1 species
AACGAACGCUGGCGGCAGGCCUAACACAUGCAAGUCGAGCGAGGACUUCGGUUCUAGCGGCGGACGGGUGAGUAACGCGUGGGAAUGUGCCCUUCUCUACGGAAUAGCCCUGGGAAACUGGGAGUAAUACCGUAUACGCCCUUUUGGGGAAAGAUUUAUCGGAGAAGGAUCGGCCCGCGUUGGAUUAGGUAGUUGGUGGGGUAAUGGCCUACCAAGCCGACGAUCCAUAGCUGGUUUGAGAGGAUGAUCAGCCACACUGGGACUGAGACACGGCCCAGACUCCUACGGGAGGCAGCAGUGGGUAAUAUUAGACAAUGGGGGCAACCCUGAUCUAGCCGUGCCGCGUGAGUGAUGAAGGCCUUAGGGUUGUAAAGCUCUUUCAGCUGGGAAGAUAAUGACGGUACCAGCAGAAGAAGCCCCGGCUAACUCCGUG